GGAUGUGAGGGUGAUCUGGCUGUGACAUCUGUCCCUUCACUGACCUGGCAUGUCUGGCUGCUGGGUGGGUGUCUCCUUCCUCACUCACUGCUCCACAUCCGUCUCUCCUGAAGCUGCCCCCUGGUCUGAGGAUGGCCUUCCCUGAAUAGAGACAGUCUUUCAUCAAGGGUAUAUGAGUAGCUGUGCUCCUCUGCUAGAACCUCCAAGCAAGCUCUCACAGGCACUAAAUUUGACAUGUUUUGUUACACAGCAAGAAUUACAUGUACAUUGUGAUUUAACAAUUCUUUGCAAACAUACAUGUUUUUCUCU
rnacentral:snRNA from 1 species